UCAAACUUGGUCAUUUAGAGGAAGUAAAAGUCGUAACAAGGUUUCCGUAGGUGAACCUGCGGAAGGAUCAUUAGUGAAAUAAUUCGGUUGGAUCACCCGGCGCUUACCAUGGGCCGGGCCCUUCCGUAUCUCACACACUUUGUUGAACUGUUGGGGGUUGGUUAACGCCUUCCCCUCCACUUUAACGCUGUAAUGUCAUAGGAUGUCUCUGGUGAAAACCAAAAUACAAUUUGUAACAACGGAUCUCUUGGCUCUCCCAUCGAUGAAGAACGCAGC
rnacentral:misc_RNA from 1 species